rnacentral:rRNA from 1 species
ACUGGUGAGUAACACGUAUCCAACCUGCCGUCUACUCUUGGACAGCCUUCUGAAAGGAAGAUUAAUACAAGAUGGCAUCAUGAGUCCGCAUGUUCACAUGAUUAAAGGUAUUCCGGUAGACGAUGGGGAUGCGUUCCAUUAGAUAGUAGGCGGGGUAACGGCCCACCUAGUCUUCGAUGGAUAGGGGUUCUGAGAGGAAGGUCCCCCACAUUGGAACUGAGACACGGUCCAA